AACGAACGCUGGCGGCAUGCCUAACACAUGCAAGUCGAACGAGACCUUCGGGUCUAGUGGCGCACGGGUGCGUAACGCGUGGGAACCUGCCCUUAGGUUCGGAAUAACUCCCCGAAAGGGGUGCUAAUACCGGAUAAUGUCUUCGGACCAAAGAUUUAUCGCCUUUGGAUGGGCCCGCGUUGGAUUAGCUAGUUGGUAGGGUAAAAGCCUACCAAGGCGACGAUCCAUAGCUGGUCUGAGAGGAUGAUCAGCCACACUGGGACUGAGACACGGCCCAGACUCGUACGGGAGGGAGCAGAGGGGAAUAUUGUACAAUGGGCGAAAGCCUGAUCCAGCAAUGCCGGGUGAGUGAUGAAGGGCUUAGGGUUGUAAAGCUCUUUUACCCGGGAUGAUAAUGACAGUACCGGGAGAAUAAGCUCCGGCUAACUCCGUG
rnacentral:rRNA from 1 species